CCUCUAAUGCCCUUCCACGCCCAAAUUUUAUCUCUUAUUGAUCCUGCCAUCAUCCAAUUGGUGCUUAAAAGCCCAUAAAUCAUAGUCCAAAGUUUGUAUACCACAUGACACCACAUCAAUACGCAAUUACAAACUCCUCUACCCCUUUUACAAAAAUAAUAAGCAUUCACUAAUAUAUUGCCCCGUCUCAUCAAUUUGUCCAUUGUCAGAAUGCCAACCUCUUAGUUAAAAAAGGUACACACGACGGAACUCUAGCUUUCCAAAUAUGUCUAAACGGAAAAACAAAACUAUUGUCUUCAUACUUGAACAACUACUUGUAGAACGACUUGAUUGUGAAUGCCCUAUUCGUUGUAAGGCACCCCUAUAACUUGUCAUUACUGUUGUCCAGAUUCACAAGGGAAAGAGUGCUUAACAGUCUCUAGCAUUCACUAAACUCCGAGUCAUUAAGAUUUCUCAACACGAAACCUAUUAUUCCUUCUCUCCUCCGCCCACUUCCACGAAAGAGUCACAGAUCUUGACAUCUUUCUGUUGCGCUAUGGCAUAAAUUUGAGGAUACUGCUCUCUAUGGGUACCACCUUCCAACCACUGAUCCUCCUAUAGUCUGAAUUUGUCCGCCUCACUAACCUUUCACCUGAUGCGCACCUCAAGGUUAUCUCGGCUAGUACCUAUCUUUUUCUACAAGUCUUCCCAUGUGGUCUUAAUCCCACUAUGGUGAACCACCUUUUCAUCUGUACCAAAUUUUGUUGCUACCACUCUUCUCCAAAGCACAUUUUCCUUUGUCAAAAACCUCUACAACCACUUAUCCUGCAAAGCAUCACUCAUCUCCACCAGGGACUGCAAUCCCAAACCACCUAGAGAUAGUUUUUUUGAGCUCAUUCUAUGUCACCAAAUGAUAUCUUCUUCUACCCUCCAUGUUACCCCAUAAGAACCUGCUUUGAAUAGCUUCUAACGUCUUGGUCACACUCAUCGGAAUGGUCAACAGGGACAUAUAGUAAAUACGAAAGUUACCCAAUGUGCUCUUAAUGACCAUGAGUCUUCCCCUUUAGAAAGGAUGGCUCUCUUACACCCUGCUAACCUACGUUCAAACCUACCACCACCUGUUCCCACGUCCUCGCUUCUUUAAAAUCGGCACCAAGGGGAACCCUGAAUAUUUGAUUGGUAGAUUGAAAAUCCUACAAACAAAAACCCGUGCAAGGCCAUUUGAAUCUCCCUCAAACCUCAUUCUCACCAUCUCUGCAGUAGCAAGAUUGAUACUAAAUCUCUAGACUGCUUGAAAACCCAUCAAAACACACUUGAUUUUAAGGAUAGCUCUCCUCUAUGGCUCAUAGAAAAACAUAGCAUCAUUAGCAAAAAACAAGUGUGUAAUAUCUUCAACCUUAUCCCCCACACCUACUUUUAAACUU
rnacentral:lncRNA from 1 species